UGUUGCAAUGGUUACCUUUUAAGGGGCUCAUAGAAUUGCAUUACAAAAAUUUAUGAUGAUGCAGUGAAUGUGUGCAAGUGUAUUAAUUCUCCUCAAGGCCAGCGUUUCAUAGCUGUAAAAUUAAUGUUAUGGUGUGAUUUCUAGUAUGGCUAAUUGCUAUUCAGUAAAGCAGAACUCUGUGUUUUCUCACCUUAUGGCACUUAAUUCCUUCAAACAGCCUUUCCUUGGGGAGUUUCCCAGGUAACUGUCAACAAAGGAUAUAUGCACAAUUACUUAUAUAUUGGUUACUAGGAGAAAUGAGUGGUGAUGCAGUGGCACAGCUGCCCAGGGAGGUGAUAGUGUCACCAUCACUGGAGGUGUUCAGGAAACAUGUAGAUGUGGCACUGAGGAAUGUGGUCAGUGGGCAUGAGUUAAUGGUUGGAUUAGAAGACCUUAGUGCUCUUUUCCAACCUUGAUGAUUCUGUGAUUCUAAAUAUGUAUUUUUCUACAUUUAGUUAAUGUGAUUGAAGCAUUGAAAAUCUUGUGAGCUUGUUCAGCUGGUUUUGAGUUCCUUUGGAUGGGAUUAGUUGAAAGAUUUAUUAGCAGACAUCUCAGGAUGCAGUGGGUUAAAAACGUGCCUCAUAACCAUAGAUAAACCCUGUGAUGUUUGAAAGCAACUGAGGGUCAAUAAAAUAGGUCAAUAAAAGCUCAGAUCGCUUGAAAUUUCUUAUAUUUAUCCUUACGUUUUCUUACUAAGUAGAAAAAAUAUUUUCUUGCUAGGAGGGUGGACUGGUAUUUGUAUCACUACUGAUUGAGAAAGAUGUGCUAAUCGCUUAUUCCAGCUUGAAAACAGUUACAAUAAAAAGCAACAACCAGUGCUGAGGCAUUGCUUGUGUACUGGAUUAACAGAGCGGGUUGUAGAACAAUCUCAGAGUGAUGGGAUAAGAAUUUAAAGGGGAUCCAACACCACUUGCUGUCAUCUUCAAGGCUUUGUUUGACUGCCAGCAUUAGAACUGUGCUCAUUGUUGUGGACUAAUGGGCAUAUGGGUUGUGGAAUGAGCAAUAUCCUUGUUGUCUGUCACAGAUACAACCAUGACCACUUGGGACUCAAAGAGAAAGUGUGAAAUGUUGAGGUACCAAGAUCUAUUGGUGCUCAAGGGAAGGGUGGUGAAAUCCAAAUCAGCAUAUAAUCAUAGACUAUCUUGAGUAGGAAGGAGCACAUGAAGACCAUCGAUUCCAGCUCCUGGGUCCAAAACACAGGACCACACAAAAAAAUCAGACACUGUGUCUGAAAGAAAUAGGCUGAGAUAUCUUACAGGCAUUAAUGCUUACAAUGGCAUGAUUGUUAUCAUAGUUACAGCCAAUUGUAGCUCUGGUGGCAAGCAGUGAUACAGCACCUGGGAGGUGCUUGGCUCUGCUUGUCAAAGUGUUCCAGUAUCAUGAAAGUGAUGAAUGACACCAGGAAAGCGUUUGGGGAAGGAGAGUAGAGGAAACACGAUGCUCUGCUGAGUGGUGGUGUGGGGUGGGCAGGAUUAUUACUGCAGGAGCCAGGCAGGCAGCAAGCAUCUGCUUAGAACCAACCAGAUCAGAGCACAGUGGGAACAAGAAAUCCUUGGACUGGUUAUCAAGGAGCUGGGAAACUCCGGGAUACUGUACUCGUGGGGGAUUUUUACUACCCAGACAUCUGCCGGGUAACAAAUGCAGCUAAUCAUGGAGAUAAUGUACAGCCCUAAUUCACUAUGAAUUCUCUCCCAUGUGUUUAGAAUUGUAUUUACAGUAGGGAGGGAGUGAUGGUUAUUCAUGAAUCAAGGUGAACUGAGGAGCCAGAGCAGAGAUGGCCGUAUAUUGUGGGAAAUACUGUGUGAUGGGCUGGAGCAGAAUCCCUCUGAAAGCAGGGAUGUACGUCUGGUAUUCUAAGAAACAAACAUUUCUGUAAUUACUGAUUGCUGUUACAUGAGCUGAUCAAACUCUUCAUUUCUCAGGAAGCUCUGCUGACCUUGAGGCACAAAUUCGCAGGUGGACUAAACCUCCUCCAGUUCACUUCUGCUGAUCAGGAGGGUGAAGAUGAUUAAGAAAAAGGAGCCCAUGUUCAUGCAGCUGAUGAGAGAUGGAUGGGUCAGAUUACUCCACCCCAGCACUGCAUCAGUGUACAUCCUUGCCAUCUCUAUCCCCCAUUUCUUCCUGCCCCGUCUGCUUCCUGCUGGAAAUCCAUCUGCAGAGCAGAAGGGCUGAGAUAACAACCAGCUGUGAGUGAGGCUGUCUGUCCUCAGCUCUUGGUGGUCUGGUGCGUCAGGAGAGGACUGGCUUGCUGGGAGGAUGGGGAUAGCAUUGUGAGUGGGGGGGAAACCACCUGGCCAGGCUGGCUUUUGCUUUGGGCAGAGGAAGGAUUGGUGAAUUGCAGUGUUUUAACAUGUGCUGAGCUGUACAUAAAUGCCUCGGGCAAGAGCUUCCCUCCCCAAAAAACAUUAAUUGAUUAACUUCCCCUUGUUCUUCCACUGAUGUUUUUCUAAGAGUAUUUUUAGUGUUAUUGAUUUUUAUUUUUUAUUUAUUUAUUCUGUAUAUUUCCAAAGAAGUAGAGAGAAAAUGAGAGCAAUUGCUCUUUUUUCUGGAAGAAAUAAGCAAACCAGGAAAAUCAAUGCCCUCUAAACUUUCCUGGACAAGGGUGAAAUUCUCAUGCUAUUGAAGUCCAAGUUCUCAGCACUGCUGCAGAAUCUGGAUGUCACUCCAAAUGCCCUGCAGGGCGUCUGCACUCUGUGCUAUGGGGACCAGCAUUCAGCAGGAAGAGAUAGUCCUCAGAUCCAGCUGCCUUUAAAGCAUCACACACCCCUGGUCUCUGAUAGGACCAGACUAUGUAGAUUUGAUCUUGGGGACCUUUCUGGUCAAGUUUAGACACAUGCACAGAGCUCACAGUGAGAAUAUGUCUCCUAUGUAGCUAGUGAGGAUGAGAAUUAACUCCUUUAAGCUGUGACAGGGGAGUUUGAGGUUAAAUAUUAGGAAAAAUUUAAUCUAAGAAAGAGUGGUGCUGCAUUGGCACAGCUGCCCAGGGAGGUGGUGGAGUCACCAUCCCUGGAGGUGUGCAAGAACCGUGGGGAUGUGGCACUGAGGGAUGUGGUCAGUGAGCAUGGUGGGGGUGUGUUGAUGGUUGGACUGAGUGAUGGUCUUUUCCAAUCUUAAUGAUUCUAUUCUUAAGUUUGUUUGUAAUCAAAUGUAUUCCUUAAAAGCUCUGUCAGGUUGUUAUUGAUUUCCUUACAGUUCCAGUACUGAUGCUGUGAGCUCUCACAGUGCCCAGGGUCACCCAUGCUCCUCUUCUUCCCUUCACCACAGACCUGUUGGCUCCGUCUACAGAGACAACAUUUGUUGGCACAUUGAGGUGAAUACCGAUGCUGAGAGGAUGUCACAGCAGUGCAAGUCAAAAUGUGCAGGGAGCGCAGGGUAUCUUGAUGGAUUUGAAAGGAACACUUUAGCCCAUGCAUGGGAACACGUCCUAUGCCAUUAUGUGUUAAUGGAUAUGAUUUAUUUCAGGAAAAAGAGGAGAAGAGAACCCAGGGAAACGUAGAACCGAUGAUGUAUAGGUAACAACACUGUUUGGAAUAUAAAUACAGACAAACAGCAUCUUUGUUGCCAGUAGUGCAAUGUUCUUUCAGAUAAUAAAGCCAUUUUGUAACUA